CUAUUUUGUUUCUUGGAUUUACUGUGUAUGCCUGCAAAAAAACAAAUCUCAGGGUUGUACAUGAUGACAUAUGUACCUCGGUUAUUUAAUUUACUUUGAAUAAUUUACUGAAUAUACCAACCAUCAUGAAAAGCUACUGAAACUGAUUUGCAUAGGACCAUCCACCAAGAAGUAGUGGAGGUUUCAAACUUGCUUUGUGGAAGGGUAGCAGAGCAAGAAACAUUAAGUAGCGCCUAGUAUCACAAAGUACAUAGAUAUAACCUGAAGAUCCUUGGAUCAAGUGCUCGAAUGAGAGAUGAUGUUGAGAGAUAAUGAGAAAUAAAGGCCUUGUUUAGUUUUACAUUUUCUAAAUUAUUAUUCUCGUCCAUAAAGACACAAGCCAUAAUAUCAAACCCCAUGCUGCAAUGUCAAUACCUCCAAUAUAUUCCAAUUUCAUUUAAAAAGUAAAUGAAUGUGAAACCCCUUGCUAGCAAAAAGCAAUAGAUCUUCAUGAGCUUUCUCCAUACACAAGAUCACUUGAUUUGGGAUGAACAUCCACUGUUCAAUUAAGGUCAGCCCUUUCCUUCAGGGAUUUAGCCCAACCAUGAGCUAUAUUUUGGAGAAGCAUUAAGGCAAUUCUUGAGUACUUCAUUUGCAUUCACUGUAAUACUUAGCAGGAAACAUUGGACCAUUUAACAAGAGAAUGACCAUGAAUGCAAAUUCAGUUCUCAUUAAAAACUAGAAAGAACAAUAGGUCUCAGCAAAAUUUUGACCAGGAAUUGAAGUUCAAAGUAAAUUUAUUAUAAACAUACGGGUUAAGUACACCUUAUCCAAAAUGCUUGGUGUUUUGGCCAGAAGUGUUUUGGAUUUUGAAUAUAUCAUGAGAUAGCUUGGGCUUUCCAUAAUUUAUAACUCUGAAUUUAUGUUCUAACGGAAAGCAGUCUGACCUAAACUUGUUCAUCACACAGUUGUUCAGCAUGUUAAAUUUUGGCAACAAUUUUGGCAAACUCAAUUUCUCUACUGCUUUGUGAUCAGCAGAUGCUUUAUCAUCACGUCUUAAAAAUUUAAUGCCAUGCCUUUUCUUAAAUUUCUGCAACCAGCCAGCCGAAUAUUCACAAUUAUCUUCACAGUUCAUCAUGAUAUAGCUUUGCUUAUUUCAUUAUCAACAUAUCAUUUAGCAACAUAAGUUCACUCUUACCCUCAUAAACCCGCUCUUUCAAUAAAUGAUUGAGAUCUUGAUUUUUUAUUCUAUCCAGUUUAUCAUUAACUUCUAUUCAUUCCAUAUGUGAGGUCACUUCUCAGAACUGUCUGUGGGGUGAGAGCAUUGUGCAUUGCCCAAGAACCUUCCCAGUGCCUUGUGGAAUUUUCCAUUUGUGACAUGUCAGCACUCAAAAGAAAUUUUGAUUUUCUGUUUUCAAAUUUUGGAAUUUCAGAUAAGGAAGCACUAUAUACUAACCGGAAGUGGAAAGUCGUUUUGCUGUACAAUAUUACCUGAAAGUUAUAUAGCAACCCAGAGUGCCAAUGCUAAUUGGUAAUUCAUAUAAAAAUGGUCAGAAUUGUUUCUUGAGAGAACUAUUGGGUUUUUUGUAGAUAUCCCUAUAUUUAUUAUUCUCAACUGAUCGAAAAUCUGGAUAAUUAGGCUUUACUAUCAAUCUACACUACACCAUGUCAGAAGAGCAGUAAAUGCCAGAAGGUGAAAUUUCCACCAGAUGCAAAUUGAGGCAGAUUCCUUACAGAGGAUGUUUUAAAUGCAUUUUCUCAGUGGUUUUUGUGUAGGCUUAGCAAAAAUAUGUGGUACUUUAAACCUGAAAGUUUAUAAAUUCCAAGGAGCUGAUGGUCUGCAAUCCGUAGUUUUUAAAGACAGGGUUAUAAAGGAGGCAAAGCUCUUUUCACAUUCUAUACAUUUUGGAAAAGUGCCCACAGAUUGGCAAGUAGCAAAUGUGACCCUGCUAUUUAAGAAAGGUCAAAGAAAACGUGGAAAUAUUGACCUGCUAGCUGACAUUAGGAGUGAUGAAGAGGUUGCAAUCUUAAAGGAUUCUGUACAAGUUUACUGGGAAAUAAUGUGGAGGCACAGAGUCAAUAUGGACUGAUAUACUGAAUUUCUUAGGAAUAUAUCUCGUGGGAACCAUGGGUUAUGGUGUACUUGAUUUUCCAAAUUUUUCAAAAUGGUCCCUCAUGUGAGGUUAUGAAUAAGGUUCAUGCACGAGGGAUUGGGGAGAAUUUACUGGGGUAGAUUGAAAAUUAGUUAAUAUAUACAAAACUAAGAGAACCAAUAAACAAGACCUUUUUGGCUUGGUGGGCUAUGAUUUAUGGGAUACUAAAGGGCAUCAACUUGCUAAGGAAUAACGUGUUAUUAUUUCCAAACUUCUUUAGGAGGGAAAAUGUUAAAUAGGUUGAAAUUGCAAGAGUACUUGAGUACAAGAAUAAAAAUGUCUUGCUACGUUAUGGAUAAGAAGAGUUUAGAGAGAUGUGGGCCAAGUGCAGGUGAAUAGGGUUAGUAUAGAUAGGCAUCUUGGUUGACAUGGGCAAGUUGGGUCAAAAUACGCAUUUCUGUGCUUCAAAGCCUAAUUAUCUAUUCUUUUGGCAUCUCAGGUACUCUCAUUUUAAGAUAUUGUUUCCUUCAAAAUCAAGAGCAUAGAGUUGAUUUUGGUACCUAAUCCAAAAUAUUUUCUUUAGGAAUUCAUUCUCCUGAAAUCAUUUUCCCUGUGCAACAUCUCAUUUGCUGGAGAUGUACAGAAAGUGUUCUCAUUACAACUUAUUUGGCUCUCUUUUGUGCAUUAAGUAUAUAUUCUCAAGAACAAGGAAUUAAGAGCAGAAGUAAGGCACUUGGCUCCUCAAGCCUGCCCCAUCAAUCAACAUGAUCAUGGAUGAUUUAUGCUGCUUCAGCUCCUCUUCAGUCCAGUUGUCCAUAGUCCCUGUAUCUUUCAAAAAUUUGAACUAUUUCUGCCUUUUAUCUACAUCUCCAAUUAUCUAGUCUCUGCUACCCACUGGAGCAGCAAAUUCCAAAGGUCCACUGCCAGAGGAAAAAAUGGUUCCAUACACCACUUUUAAAUGAGCAUAUUCCUGCCUCUCUCACUGAUGAAAAUCUCAACAUCUCACCUGUCCCAUCAUCCCAUUUGGGAUCUAUGUUCAAAACCUUUGGUGCUUCUCAACAUGAAAAAAUAGCUUGAUAAGUUGUAAUCUAAGGGGAAAGAUGUUCACCAAUUUUUUUUAAAAAUCAACAUUUCAAAUCUUCACUUUAUACUCUAUUCACCAUCCAUCUCAGUGUUCCAGUCAUCUGGUUUCUUGGCAUCUGGAAUUUUUGUGGCUUGUCCCGGUCCUAAUUUUGUGUUGAGAGGCAAGAUAAAGUGCAAAUGAAUUAAUAUAUACUCCUCCUUCUGAGAAUUUCCUUUAUUUAAUUACUAAGACUUUCUUAAAUAGCUACCUCCCUGUAAUAAACUAAUUGCUCCCAAAAGCAAUGGAAUUUUUUUUCUUAGUGUACAUCUGCCACUAAUUAAGUCAAUCACCAGGAAUCAGACAGCUUACUAUGGUUCGCUAAAUGAUCUGUCAUGGUCUGGAUCGGUUCUCCUUUAAAUUUAGUUAGGUUGUGAUCUGGACCAUUGACCCCUUGUUCCCUUCUAAUUCCAUUUCACGUGUCCCUUGAGCUUGGCCAUCAAGGUAAUCUACCCUCGACCCGAACUGGCAGCUUAUAAACCCUUGGCUUUAGCCAUUCACGGCGAGAAUGUUAAGAAGCCUUCACAAGUCGCCGCCACUGCUACGACAAGCCAGAUCCAGCCCGCAUCGGAGUACCAGCAAUUCGCCUUCCGUCGCCAGAGUGGGUCCGGGCAAGGUCAAUCUACCAGGGCUGCAAUCCAGCUUGAAGAUAAAACAAGAUUUACAACUUUAAAAAUAGCUGAAAAAUGAAGACUAUUUUACUCUUGGUUAUUGACAAUGCCCAGUGUUCUACUGUUAUGCUCCAUCAUGGGCCCUCCCAAGCAUCGAGGAUAUCUUCAAAAGGCGGUGCCUCCGAAAGGUGGUAUCUGUCAUUAAGGACUCCCAUCACCUAGGACACGUCUUCUUUUCAUUUCUACUAUUGUAUCAUGGAGGAUGUACAGGAGCCUGAAGACGCAUAUUCAACAUUUUAAGAACAGCUUCUUCCCCUCUGCCAUCAGAUUUCUGAAUGGACAAUAAACUUACAUGCAUUACCUCACUUUUUUUCUUUUUUUUGCUCUACUUAUUUAAUUUCAUAUGUAUAUAUUUCUUAUUGUAACCUAGCUUUUUAUUUGUAUUGCAACGUACUGCUGCUGCAAAACAACAAAUUUCAUGACAUAUGCUAGUAAUAUUAAACCUGAUUCUGAUUCUGUAUUUUAUUAUUGUGAUACAUAUUCAGCUCCAUUAGGAAGUUCAGUUGUACAACAUAAUACUGAAAAUACUGAAAUUAAUAUAUCUACAUAAUUCCAAGCCACCUUUAUAAGUAUUGGGAGAAAGUAAAAUUAACUAAAGUUUAAGAAGUAGCAUGAACAGAGUUAAACAUCAUGAAUACAAUACAAAUGUCAAGGUAAUGACUGGUUUUAAAACAAAUUUAAUUACAGGUGUGAAUAAUUGUUGAGAGCUGAUAAGAAAGCAAUGACAAAACCCGUGUAUCAUUCUGCUUCCAAUUAAAAAGCAAGUAGGUUUCCUAGUUGUAACCCAAAAUGUAGACUUUGCAUCUUACUGCCAUCUGCAAUCUCCCUUCAAAUAGAUCAGACGGUUUGCCAGUGUUUGGAUGAAGAAAGAGAACUAGAAAAAGCACUUCUAUCUUCAUAUUUUCCCCCUUUCGUCAUAUUGAACAAAGAACA